rnacentral:rRNA from 1 species
UACAGAGGGUGCAAGCGUUGUUCGGAAUUAUUGGGCGUAAAGAGCGUGUAGGCGGCUUGUUAAGUCUUGCGUGAAAUCUCGGGGCUCAACCCCGAGCGGUCGUGAGAAACUGGCAGGCUAGAGUGCGGGAGAGGAGAGUGGAAUUCCUGGUGUAGCGGUGAAAUGCGCAGAUAUCAGGAAGAACACCCGUGGCGAAGGCGGCUCUCUGGAACGCAACUGACGCUGAGACGCGAAAGCGUGGGGAGCAAACAGG